UACGUAGGGUGCAAGCGUUGUCCGGAAUUAUUGGGCGUAAAGAGCUCGUAGGCGGUUUGUCGCGUCUGCUGUGAAAACUCGGGGCUUAACCCCGGGCCUGCAGUGGGUACGGGCAGACUAGAGUGCGGUAGGGGAGACUGGAAUUCCUGGUGUAGCGGUGAAAUGCGCAGAUAUCAGGAAGAACACCCGUGGCUAAGGCGGUUCUCUGGGCCAUAACUGACGCUGAGGAGCGAAAGCAUGGGGAGCGAACAGG
rnacentral:rRNA from 1 species